rnacentral:rRNA from 1 species
GUAGGUGGCAAGCGUUGUCCGGAAUUAUUGGGCGUAAAGCGCGCGCAGGCGGUCCUUUAAGUCUGAUGUGAAAGCCCACGGCUCAACCGUGGAGGGUCAUUGGAAACUGGGGGACUUGAGUGCAGAAGAGGAGAGUGGAAUUCCACGUGUAGCGGUGAAAUGCGUAGAGAUGUGGAGGAACACCAGUGGCGAAGGCGACUCUCUGGUCUGUAACUGACGCUGAGGCGCGAAAGCGUGGGGGGAGCGAACAGGAUUAGAUACCCUGGUAGUCCACGCCGUAAACGAUGAGUGCUAAGUGUUAGAGGGUUUCCCGCCCUUUAGUGCUGCAGCUAACGCAUUAAGCACUCCGCCUGGGAGUACGGUCGCAAGACUG